rnacentral:rRNA from 1 species
UACGUAGGGUGCAAGCGUUAAUCGGAAUUACUGGGCGUAAAGCGUGCGCAGGCGGCUUGCAAGACAGAUGUGAAAUCCCCGGGCUUAACCUGGAACUGCAUUUGUGACUGCAUGGCUGGAGUGCGGCAGAGGGGAUCGGAAUUCCGCGUGUAGCAGUGAAAUGCGUAGAUAUGCGGAGGAACACCGAUGGCGAAGGCAAUCCCCUGGGCCUGCACUGACGCUCAUGCACGAAGCGUGGGGAGCAAACAGG